UAGUAAUCGCGAAUCAGAAUGUCGCGGUGAAUACGUUCCCGGGCCUUGUACACACCGCCCGUCACACCAUGGGAGUGGGUUGCACCAGAAGUAGAUAGCUUAACCUUCGGGAGGGCGUUUACCACGGUGUGAUUCAUGACUGGGGUGAAGUCGUAACAAGGUAACCCUAGGGGAACCUGGGGUUGGAUCACCUCCUUACCUUAA
rnacentral:rRNA from 1 species